AGUGAACGCUGGCGGUAGGCCUAACACAUGCAAGUCGAACGGCAGCACAGUAAGAGCUUGCUCUUACGGGUGGCGAGUGGCGGACGGGUGAGGAAUACAUCGGAAUCUACUUUUUCGUGGGGGAUAACGUAGGGAAACUUACGCUAAUACCGCAUACGACCUACGGGUGAAAGCAGGGGAGCUUCGGACCUUGCGCGAUUGAAUGAGCCGAUGUCGGAUUAGCUAGUUGGCGGGGUAAAGGCCCACCAAGGCGACGAUCCGUAGCUGGUCUGAGAGGAUGAUCAGCCACACUGGAACUGAGACACGGUCCAGACUCCUACGGGAGGCAGCAGUGGGGAAUAUUGGACAAUGGGCGCAAGCCUGAUCCAGCCAUACCGCGUGGGUGAAGAAGGCCUUCGGGUUGUAAAGCCCUUUUGUUGGGAAAGAAAAGCAGCAUGUUAAUACCCCGCUGUUCUGACGGUACCCAAAGAAUAAGCACCGGCUAACUUCGUG
rnacentral:rRNA from 1 species